GAGUUUGAUCAUGGCUCAGGACGAACGCUGGCGGCGUGCCUAACACAUGCAAGCCGAAGGAAAGUAGCAAUAUGAGUACUUGGCGCAAGGGUGCGUAAUGCAUAGGUAAUCUGCCUUUUGGAUGAGAAUAACUCAGCGAAAGUUGAGAUAAUACUCAAUGAUGCAGCGGCUCCGCAUGGAGACAGUUGUUAAAGAUUUAUCGCCAAAAGAUGAGCCUAUGUUCUAUCAGAUAGUUGGUGGGGUAACGGCCUACCAAGUCUACGACAGAUAGCUGGUCUGAGAGGAUGAUCAGCCACAUGGGAACUGAGACACGGUCCCAACUUCUACGGAAGGCAGCAGUGAGGAAUAUUGCUCAAUGGGUGAAAGCCUGAAGCAGCAACGCCGCGUGGGCGACGAAGGUCUUCGGAUUGUAAAGCCCUUUUGCAGGGGACGAAUAUCCUGUUCUACGGGACUGACGGUACUCUGCGAAUAAGCCACGGCUAACUCUGUGC
rnacentral:rRNA from 1 species